rnacentral:rRNA from 1 species
UGGAUUCAGCGGCGGACGGGUGAGUAAUGCCUAGGAAUCUGCCUGGUAGUGGGGGACAACGUUUCGAAAGGAACGCUAAUACCGCAUACGUCCUACGGGAGAAAGCAGGGGACCUUCGGGCCUUGCGCUAUCAGAUGAGCCUAGGUCGGAUUAGCUAGUUGGUGAGGUAAUGGCUCACCAAGGCGACGAUCCGUAACUGGUCUGAGAGGAUGAUCAGUCACACUGGAACUGAGACACGGUCCAGACUCCUACGGGAGGCAGCAGUGGGGAAUAUUGGACAAUGGGCGAAAGCCUGAUCCAGCCAUGCCGCGUGUGUGAAGAAGGUCUUCGGAUUGUAAAGCACUUUAAGUUGGGAGGAAGGGUUGUAGAUUAAUACUCUGCAAUUUUGACGUUACCGACAGAAUAAGCACCGGCUAACUCUGUGCCAGCAGCCGCGGUAAUACAGAGGGUGCAAGCGUUAAUCGGAAUUACUGGGCGUAAAGCGCGCGUAGGUGGUUUGUUAAGUUGGAUGUGAAAUCCCCGGGCUCAACCUGGGAACUGCAUCCAAAACUGGCAAGCUAGAGUAUGGUAGAGGGUGGUGGAAUUUCCUGUGUAGCGGUGAAAUGCGUAGAUAUAGGAAUCAACCUGGGAAUGGCGAUGGUGACUGC